rnacentral:rRNA from 1 species
UACGAAGGGGGCUAACGUUGUUCGGAAUUACUGGGCGUAAAGCGCGUGUAGGCGGCCCUGCAAGUCGGGUGUGAAAUCCCACGGCUCAACCGUGGAAGUGCACUCGAAACUGCAGGGCUAGAGUCCUGGAGAGGAAGGUGGAAUGCUUGGUGUAGAGGUGAAAUUCGUAGAUAUCAAGCGGAACACCGGUGGCGAAGGCGGCCUUCUGGACAGUGACUGACGCUGAGACGCGAAAGCGUGGGGAGCAAACAGG